rnacentral:rRNA from 1 species
UGGCGGACGGGUGAGUAAUGUCUGGGAAAUUGCCUGAUGGAGGGGGAUAACUACUGGAAACGGUAGCUAAUACCGCAUAACGUCGCAAGACCAAAGAGGGGGACCUUGGGCCUCUUGCCAUCGGAUGUGCCCAGAUGGGAUUAGCUAGUAGGUGGGGUAAGGGCUCACCUAGGCGACGAUCCCUAGCUGGUCUGAGAGGAUGACCAGCCACACUGGAACUGAGACACGGUCCAG